CUUUAUGAGGCCAACAGACUCACAACAAGUUGUUCCAACAAAUGUGAUGUCGUCUGCACGUAACAAAUUGUUAACAAGUUGAUGACAACAAGCUCGUAGCAACAUGUUACGAACAGCCUGUAUUAGUCUUGUUGGAACAACUUGUAGCAAGUCUGUUACCGCCAUCUACCUGGUAACAACAUGAUAACAACUUGUUCUAGACUUGUCACAACAACUGGGAACAAGCAGUGCGAACACAUUUAAAUAGAGAGUUUGAGCAAGACAACGAAGUCGGACGACGACGACGUGCUUGACAAUUUUUGCCUCUCUUGCACAUUAGCUUGCGCAUUCUGAGUUUAGGGUCAGGGGUGAAGGCAGAUUAGACAUGCAUGUCUAGCUGUUUGUGAAUGCUGACACAAAUCCUUACCCUGAUCAGGAUAAAACAGCGAGACAUGAAUCCAUAUCCCGUCUUCGUCUUCUGCGUUCGUUCACAACGAAUAUUUUGGCAAAAUUCGUUGUGAACUUCGUUCUGCACGAAGGCAGAAGGACAAAGACGGUAUAUAGUUUCAUGUAAUCAUGUCUCGCUGUUUUUUUUCUGGAUCAGGGCAAGAAUUAUGGUCAGUAUUCAUAAACAGCGACACAUGGGAAGACACGUUGUCCAAACACCAGUGACGUCCAACUCAGUAUGCGCAAGAUAAUGUACAGGCGGCAAAUAUUGUCAAGUACGCCUUCGUCUUCGUACUUCGUUGUCUUGCUCAAACUCUCUAAUAUCAGCUUGACAACAACUUUGUUACAACUUGUUUGCAAGAUCUGCAACAACUUGUGUGUGUUGUUACAUUUGUAGACCAUUACAUUAGGCUUGGUACAUAAUGAUAAACGCGAUGUUUGAAC